rnacentral:rRNA from 1 species
AGACAGCAGCCGCCGCGGUAAUACGUAGGGUGCAAGCGUUAUCCGGAAUUAUUGGGCGUAAAGAGCUCGUAGGCGGUUUGUCGCGUCUGCUGUGAAAACUGGAGGCUCAACCUCCAGCCUGCAGUGGGUACGGGCAGACUAGAGUGCGGUAGGGGAGAUUGGAAUUCCUGGUGUAGCGGUGGAAUGCGCAGAUAUCAGGAGGAACACCGAUGGCGAAGGCAGAUCUCUGGGCCGUAACUGUCGCUGAGGAGCGAAAGCGUGGGGAGCGAACAGGAUUAGAUACCCGAGUAGUCCCUGUCUCUUAUAA